rnacentral:rRNA from 1 species
UACGUAGGGGGCAAGCGUUGUCCGGAUUUAUUGGGCGUAAAGAGCUCGUAGGCGGUUUGGUAAGUCUGGUGUGAAAUCUCCACGCUCAACGUGGAGGGGCCACCCGAUGACUGCCAUGACUGGAGUCCGGUAGAGGAGUGUGGAAUUCCCGGUGUAGCGGUGAAAUGCGCAGAGUAUCGGGAGGAACACCCGUAGCGAAGGCGGCACUCGUGGGCCGGUACGUGCACGC